UUAAAGGCACAUGGUGGAUGCCUAGGGAUAUCAAGGCGAUGAAGGACGUGACGUGACUGCGAAAAGCCUCGGGGAGGUGUCUAGUAACCUUUGAUCCGGGGAUGUCCGAAUGGGGAAACCCCUUUGCGAGAAAUCGUGAAGAGUCCAGCCGCAAGGUUGGGCGGCAAACCCGCUGAAGUAAAACAUUCUAGUAAGCGGAGGAAAAGACAACAUAUGUGAUUCCCUUAGUAGCGGCGAGCGAAAAGGGACCAGUCUAAACUCAAUAUCGCAAGAUAUUGGGGGUUGCAAGGGGAUGGCGUCGGGGCUUUAUCCCUCACCCGAUUAUAGGGGGUGGGGGAUGGAGUAUCUGAGGGAGAAUUGGUAAAGGUUGGUUAGGAGAAUGCUUCUGGAAAGAAGCAGCCUAAGAGGGUAAUAGCCCCGUAUCUGAAAACUACUUUAUGCUCCUUGCUGUCUUUCUUAAGUACCUCGGGACAUGAAUAGCCCGUGGGAAACAGGCCGAACUAAUCGGCCAAGACUAAAUACUUGAUAUCACCGAUAGUGAACUAGUACCGUGAGGGAAAGGUGAAAAGAAGCCCGAUGAGGGCAGUGAAAUAGAUCCUGAAACCAUGGUGCCUACAACGAGUCGGAGCUCUGACGCAAGUCAGGGUGACGGCGUGCUUUUUGCAGAACGAGCCAACGAGUGUACUUAGGUGCUACGUCUAAGCCCUUCUGGGGCGGAGGCACAGCGAAAGCGAGUGUGAAUAACGCGAACAAUUAGCUCCUAUGUACGACCCGAAGCCAAGCGAGCUUGCCAUGACCAGGGUGAACCCCGCAGAAAUGCGGGGGGAGGCCCGAACCCGUGAGCCGUUCAAUACUCUGGGAUGAGUUGUGGUAAGAAGUGAAAAGCUAACCGAGCUUGGUAAUAGCUGGUUCUCCCCGAAAUAGUUUUAGGACUAGCGUCGAUUGCAGGUCUUGGAGGUAGAGCUCUGGAAAGAAUAUUUUGGCGCAAGCCAGAUAUUCUUACCAAACUUCGAAUGCCAGGAUCGUAAGGAUCGGCAGUAAGAACGUGGGGGCUAAGCUCCGCGCUCAAAAGGGAAACAGCCCAGAUCUUCAUCUAAGGUCCCUAAAUUAAGCUAAGUGCAAAACGAGGAAGUGGAAUUCCACAGAUAGCUAGGAGGUUCGCUCAGAAGCAGCUAUCCUUUAAAAAGUGCGUAACAGCUUACUAGCUAAGGAAUUCCGCGCCGCAGAUGUAUAGGGGCUCAAGCUUAAUACCGAAGAUAAGAAUUCUUCCGCCUUUGGCGGAGGAGUGGUAGGGGAGCGUCUUCAUUAGCUGUGAAGCUUAACCGGAAGGUUAGGUGGAGCAAUGAGGAGUGAGAAUGUUGGCAUGAGUAACCGCAAUGGCAGUGAAAGCCUGCCACACCGAAAACCCAAGGUUUCCUUGGCAAUGAUGAUCAUCCAAGGGUUAGGCGGUCCUAACCUCGCGCCAGAAUAUGGCGAAGGGAUGGACAGGAGGUUAAUAUUCCUCCCCCUUGUUCCAUGCUUCUUUGGAAUGACGAAGAGUAGUAGCUCGGGCGAGUUAUCGGAUUUUUGUUCGUAGUAUAGCCCUCCUUGCCGUAAGGCGAGUUGGGGAGUACCGCGACAACCCUGGUGCAAACUAGGGAAGCUGAGUGAGCACUCUUCCAGGAAAAGUACCAAAGAUAUGAGUGGAAUGAGUCCGUACCGUAAACCGACACAGGUGGGUUGGCGUAAGUGCGCCAAGGUGAACGUGUGAAAGCUCCUGAAGGAACUCGGCAAAAAAGUGGUCGUAACUUCGGGAUAAGAUCUGCCCCAAGCCCGCAAGGGUGAGGGGCCGCAGCUACCGUUUCUCAAGCGACUGUUUAUCAAAAACACAGGUCUCUGCUUAAUUCGUAAGAGGAUGUAUAGAGGCCGACACCUGACCAGUGCUGGAGUGUUAAUCCUGCCGGUUCCUGCCGCAAGGUGGGCAGCUGAGUGGGUGAAGCCCCAGUGAACGUCCGCGAUAACUAUAAUCGUGUUAAAGUAGCGUAACCCCUUGCCUCGUAAGUUGAGGCCCGCAUGAAAGGUGUCACGACUUGAGAACUGUCUCCAGGAGCAGCACGGUGAAGAUGCAACACCGGUAAAGAUGCCGGUUACCUGCGGCUAGACGGAAAGACCCCGGGAGCUUUACUGUAGCUUCUCAUUGUCUUAUCAUUUCGGAUGCGUAGCGUAGCGGGCAGGCUUUGAAGUUCCUCUCUCGGGAGGGAUGGAGCCGACAAUGAAACACCCGUCUUUUGAAAGGAUAAGACUAAUUGCGCCAAAAGCGCAUGACAGUGGGAGGUGGGCAGUUUUAGUGGGGCGCUAGCCUCCAAAAGAGUAACGGAGGCGUUUAUAAGGUCAGCUAGCUCCGGAUGGAAAUCGGAGCGAUAGUGUAAAGGCAUAAGCUGGCUUGACUGCGAGACGGAUAUGUCGAGCAGGUGGGAAACCAGAACUUAGUGAACCGACCCUUGGUUAUAGAAUCAGGGAAGAUCAUCAGCCAAAAGUUACCCCGGGGAUAACAGGCUAGUAGGGCCCGCGAGUCCAUAUCUACGGCCCUGUUCGGCACCUUAAUUAUCGGGGUGCUAUAGUAGCAAUAUUGUACCUGUUCUCCCGUAAUAGAGAAAAACAAAAAAGCGGCUUAUAACGGUGAACUCCAUAUGAUAGUAUAAGCUCAUAUCUGUGGACGAUACCGUGGGAAGUUUAAUCUAGUUUGGUUAUAACCCCGUAGAGACUUGAUUCCAGCGCGAAUCAGAGUUCUUCAGAAUAUGAAGAACUAACACGCCGACUCCGUUAUGAAAAUAACGGAUGAAGAUAUAGUCCGAACCUCUUGGUAACAAGAGAAAAAUGUCGACAGCGAUGUCGGCUCAUCACAGCGCGGGGCUGAAGAAGGUCCCAAGCGUUUGGCUGUUCGCCAAUUAAAGUGAUACGUGAGCUGGGUUCAAACCGUCGUGAGACAGGUUGGU
rnacentral:rRNA from 1 species